rnacentral:misc_RNA from 1 species
GAAAUGCGAUAAGUAGUGUGAAUUGCAGAAUUCAGUGAAUCAUCGAAUCUUUGAACGCACAUUGCGCCCUUUGGUAUUCCUUAGGGCAUGCCUGUUCGAGCUUCAUCUAAACCUUCAAGCCCUGCUUGGUGUUGGGUGCCUGUCCCGCCUCCGCGCGCGGACUCACCUCAAAUCCAUUGGCGGCCCCCGCGUCGGCCACGAGCGCAGCAGAAACGCGAACUCGUGAGCCCGUCCGGGCGGCUCCCAGAAGCUACACCCACCCAGUUUGACCUCGGAUCAGGUAGGGAUACCCGCUGAACUUAAGC